GACGAACGCUGGCGGCGUGCUUAACACAUGCAAGUCGAACGCUGAAGCUCAGCUUGCUGGGUGGAUGAGUGGCGAACGGGUGAGUAACACGUGAGUAACCUGCCCCCUUCUUUGGGAUAACGCCCGGAAACGGGUGCUAAUACUGGAUAUUCACUGGCCUUCGCAUGGGGGUUGGUGGAAAGGUUUGUUCUGGUGGGGGAUGGGCUCGCGGCCUAUCAGCUUGUUGGUGGGGUGAUGGCCUACCAAGGCUUUGACGGGUAGCCGGCCUGAGAGGGUGACCGGUCACAUUGGGACUGAGAUACGGCCCAGACUCCUACGGGAGGCAGCAGUGGGGAAUAUUGCACAAUGGGCGAAAGCCUGAUGCAGCGACGCCGCGUGAGGGAUGGAGGCCUUCGGGUUGUAAACCUCUUUCGCUCAUGGUCAAGCCGCAACAUUGGUUGUGGUGAGGGUAGUGGGUAAAGAAGCGCCGGCUAACUACGUGCCAGCAGCCGCGGUAAUACGUAGGGCGCGAGCGUUGUCCGGAAUUAUUGGGCGUAAAGGGCUUGUAGGCGGUUGGUCGCGUCUGCCGUGAAAUCCUCUGGCUUAACUGGGGGCGUGCGGUGGGUACGGGCUGACUUGAGUGCGGUAGGGGAGACUGGAACUCCUGGUGUAGCGGUGGAAUGCGCAGAUAUCAUGAAGAACACCGGUGGCGAAGGCGGGUCUCUGGGCCGUUACUGACGCUGAGGAGCGAAAGCGUGGGGAGCGAACAGG
rnacentral:rRNA from 1 species